UUAGGAAUCUUCCCCAAUGGGCGAAAGCCUGAGGGAGCGACACUGCGUGAAGGAUGACAGCCUUCGGGUUGUAAACUUCUGAACGAGGGACGACGGUACCUCGCUAACAGCACCAGCUAACUCUGUGCCAGCAGCCGCGGUAAUACGGAGGGUGCAAGCGUUGUCCGGAAUCAUUGGGCGUAAAGAGCUCGUAGGCGGUUCAGUAAGUCGGGUGUGAAAGCUCCGAGCUCAACUCGGAGAGGCCACUCGAUACUGCUGGACUAGAAUCCAGUAGGGGAGUGUGGAAUUCCUGGUGUAGCGGUGAAAUGCGCAGAUAUCAGGAGGAACACCGGCGGCGAAGGCGGCACUCUGGGCUGGUAUUGACGCUGAGGAGCGAAAGUGUGGGUAGCAAACAGGAUUAGAUACCCUAGUAGU
rnacentral:rRNA from 1 species